rnacentral:rRNA from 1 species
GAUGAACGCUGGCGGCGUGCCUAAUACAUGCAAGUCGAGCGAACAGACGAGGAGCUUGCUCCUCUGACGUUAGCGGCGGACGGGUGAGUAACACGUGGAUAACCUACCUAUAAGACUGGGAUAACUUCGGGAAACCGGAGCUAAUACCGGAUAAUAUGUUGAACCGCAUGGUUCAACAGUGAAAGACGGUCUUGCUGUCACUCAUAGAUGGAUCCGCGCCGCAUUAGCUAGUUGGUAAGGUAACGGCUUACCAAGGCAACGAUGCGUAGCCGACCUGAGAGGGUGAUCGGCCACACUGGAACUGAGACACGGUCCAGACUCCUACGGGAGGCAGCAGUAGGGAAUCUUCCGCAAAGGGCGAAAGCCUGACGGAGCAACGCCGCGUGAGUGAAGAAGGUCUUCGGAUCGUAAAACUCUGUUAUUAGGGAAGAACAAAUGUGUAAGUAACUAUGCACGUCUUGACGGUACCUAAUCAGAAAGCCACGGCUAACUACGUG